AACCGAGAUUCCCCCAGUAGCGGCGAGCGAACGGGGAGCAGCCCAGAGCCUGAAUCAGUGUGUGUGUUAGUGGAAGCGUCUGGAAAGGCGCGCGAUACAGGGUGACAGCCCCGUACACAAAAAUGCACAUGCUGUGAGCUCGAUGAGUAGGGCGGGACACGUGGUAUCCUGUCUGAAUAUGGGGGGACCAUCCUCCAAGGCUAAAUACUCCUGACUGACCGAUAGUGAACCAGUACCGUGAGGGAAAGGCGAAAAGAACCCCGGCGAGGGGAGUGAAAAAGAACCUGAAACCGUGUACGUACAAGCAGUGGGAGCACGCUUAGGCGUGUGACUGCGUACCUUUUGUAUAAUGGGUCAGCGACUUAUAUUCUGUAGCAAGGUUAACCGAAUAGGGGAGCCGAAGGGAAACCGAGUCUUAACUGGGCGUUAAGUUGCAGGGUAUAGACCCGAAACCCGGUGAUCUAGCCAUGGGCAGGUUGAAGGUUGGGUAACACUAACUGGAGGACCGAACCGACUAAUGUUGAAAAAUUAGCGGAUGACUUGUGGCUGGGGGUGAAAGGCCAAUCAAACCGGGAGAUAGCUGGUUCUCCCCGAAAGCU
rnacentral:rRNA from 1 species